rnacentral:rRNA from 1 species
UACGGAGGAUCCGAGCGUUAUCCGGAUUUAUUGGGUUUAAAGGGUCCGCAGGCGGGAGAUUAAGUCGGCGGUGAAAUUUUGCAGCUCAACUGUAAAAGUGCCUUCGAAACUGGUUUCCUUGAGUGUGGAUGAAGUAGGCGGAAUUUGUGGUGUAGCGGUGAAAUGCAUAGAUAUCACGAGGAACUCCGAUUGCGCAGGCAGCUUACUAAACCAUAACUGACGCUCAGGCACGAAGGCGUGGGGAUCAAACAGGAUUAGAUACCCUGGUAGU